GACGUACUCCCUCCGUUUAGAAUUACUUGUCUCAGAAAUGAAUGUAUCUAGAACUAAAAUACAUCUAGAUACAUCCAUUUUUACGGCAAGUAAUUCCGAACGGAGGGAAUAGAUG
rfam:Triticum aestivum genome assembly, contig: Triticum_aestivum_CS42_TGACv1_scaffold_516457_6BS